GCCCUGAUUAGAGGGGAAUCACCCACCUGGUGUCCCAGGUCUAAAUCAGGCCCUGAUUAGAGGGGAAUCACCCACCUGGUGUCCCAGGUCUAAAUCAGUCCCUGAUUAGAGGGGAAUCACCCACCUGGUGUCCCAGGUCUAAAUCAGGCCCUGAUUAGAGGGGAAUCACCCACCUGGUGUCCCAGGUCUAAAUCAGGCCCUGAUUAAAGGGAAGAAUGACUGGUGUCUCAGGUCUAAAUCAGGCCCUGAUUAGAGGGGAAUCACCCACCUGGUGUCCCAGGUCUAAAUCAGGCCCUGAUUAGAGGGGAAUCACCCACCUGGUGACCCAGGUCUAAAUCAGGCCCUGAUUAGAGGGGAAUCACCCACCUGGUGUCCCAGGUCUAAAUCAGGCCCUGAUUAGAGGGGAAUCACCCACCUGGUGUCUCAGGUCUAAAUCAGGCCCUGAUUAGAG